UGUGUGUGUGUUUACGGUGGUAUUUUGUUGUCAUAGAUAGAGGCGAGGUAAGGUGGUAGUGUACCGUCUGUUAUGGUUCAUGUGUUAGUUUUAUACGCAGACUAGAGUGUUAUUAAUUGUUAUUGUGUAUGUGCUUUUGUUUCAUUAAUUUUCACUUGUCUGUUGUAAAUUUUGAAGCUUGAUGCCUUUUAUUGCAGGUGUACGGAAGGCUUAUACUGUGGAAUAGAGAAGAGAACGUGGUUUAAGUUUUUAGGUGGCUAUCGCGUCUACACUUGCGGUUGUUGGAGGAGGAAGGAGCCGGUACUUUUUUGAGGUAGACUAGGGGAAUAGUGAUGGGUUGGGGUCUGGUGGUGUUCCUCGGUUCUCUAGUGCACCCAAAAGUGCCUAGAGAUGGGCACGGGGAGACUUAAGUGAGGUGUAUAAACCUGUGAAAGGGCACUACUUAGUCGAGGAACCGUACCCGUAGCUGACUGACGCCCGUCUUACAAGGGGUCACAGCCGAAGUGGGGGUGCCGGCGGUAGAGCGGUACCGGUCUCGCCUCGCAAGCGAGACGUCUCGGGUUCGAUUCCCGGGCCGGUGGAAAGUGGGUUGGACACACUUCCUAGACCCCCUCUGUCCCUGUUGACCUAGCAGUAAAGUAGGUACCCGUUGUAAAUCGAAAGUUGCGAAUUCGUAUCUGGGGAAAGUCGUCGGAGGUAGCCGACAAAAUGUUAAAGACUGGAGGGUUGUACGCCCUUGACAAAAAAUGCUAUGAUCCUUUAGGCAAGCACAAACUUGGCAUGCUGCCUAGUUGGGCGGUGUAGGUGCUUGUGCCCUUCACCUUGCAUGGGAAUAAGGGGGGGGUGAGGGGGGAUGCCCCUCGGCCCCUCCCCUUCUCAAAAAGUGUGGUAAUGAGAAAUCGAAAAAUGGUAGAGUAGAAUAUAGUCUUGUGUUGACUGUAUCGACUAACGAAGAGGAAGUAUGGUCGCCAUCCAGAGGUGGGGGAGAAGUCGAUGUUGGAAAGGAGCCAAGUGUUGUAACCAGUCGACCUGUGCAGCAUGUGCUAAAAGGAGUUGUUGCAGUCCAGAAGACGUGAUUGGUGUGUGAUAAUCCAGAGGGACAUUAACGCUCGACUGAAUGUUGGAAAUGGGAGGUCGUAAAGGUGUAAGUAUUGUUUAUUGAAGUUUUACCUAUACUUUGUUAUAAUUUGAUGAGUAGAGUAUUUGUAACAUUGACGUAUUGUUUUGUUGUUUUCAUGUUGGUGGUGGAGGAAUAUGGGCGAAUUGUUGAGAGGAGCGCGUCGACACUGGAUACGGUGAUGUCAAAUUGUGUAAUGUAUUAUUUGAAGGUUUGAGGAUGGAGUGGUGGUGGGUAGUGCCGUAACCAGGUUGCAGAAAGGGUGGACUACUACAUGUAUGGGGCUGUGCAAUGGACUGUGUUGAGCAGCAGCAGCAGCGGCGGCGGUUUAAGAUAAGUGGUGUGGUGUGUUGCAUCGUGAAUUGUUUGUGAUAGUUUAGGGACAUAGUGAAUUUAGUUGUAAGAAAUUGAGUAUAAUGUAAUUGUUGGAAGACGUGAUGUAAAUUGUAGGUUAGUUUUGGAUUAGUAUAUGUGGAGAAUGGAUGUAGCAGGUAAUAGAAAUGUUGUGACUUGUGUAGAGGCAUAUAUAUAUUUGGUGAGUGUGGCGUUGGAGCGGUUUAGGGCGUGAACUAAUGUGUUGAUCUGUUUGUUUUUUAGGCUGGAUUGGAGUUUUUGGAAUGGUAGGCGGCAGUGAUGGUGGAAGAGGCAGUGGUUACUCGGCGACGGAGAUGGGAGCGAAAGGGUAAGGAGCCGAUUGUUUGUGUUAAAGAGGAAGCGUUUGUUUGAAUUUGGGUAAGAUGAAAGGUGAAUUUGUUGUGGGUAUGUAUUGUAAUUGUAUAGAAGUUAGUUGGUAGCAGGCUAGUAUUGUUGUUACACACUCGAGGCUGUGUAAUGAUUGGUACUAGCCUUGGUGAAUGGUUUGUAGUAGAGUAUGUGUAUAUUGCUAAGAAGUUGGUAUUUGUAGUGUAUGGUGUGGUUUAAAAGGAAGAAGUUUUGUUUUCGUAGACAUGGGCUUUGACGAGGUAAUGCUUAAGAGAGUGAGUUUUUGUUGUAGGCAAACCAUUAAGAAUAUGAGGGACGUGUUGAUCCCGAAGGAGAUUGGAUGCAUGAACCUUUUUGGAAUGGUGUUUAUU
rnacentral:lncRNA from 1 species